GAACCCGAUCCUCUGCUGGGGCAUGGAUUAUUGUGUUCAGCACAAUUGGCGCAGCGCAGAAAUGUGUGACCUUGUGCUUCGCUAUGGCGCUAAAGAUUGCCUUUGCUGUUACCUGCAAAAACCCCCAAAUUGAUGCCACCUGAGGGGAUCAGAAAUUGCUUAAAGCACGGUAUUGGAAAAUCAUUCUUCGGCCAACACCACUUCCUGUAAUAGAUCGAUCGGAGAUAGAGGAAUCGUGCGGAAAAAAGAGUUAAAAAUGUGAAUGGUGUUUGAGAUAUGAUUCUGAAUCUAAACUGUUGUAUGCAAAUGAUGUUAGAGAUCUGAUUCUGAAUUUAAACGAUUUUAUGUGAA